CACCGCCGUUGGGGGCUGGGGACACUAGCACCCGGCAGGCGGGGACCAGGGCUACUGCUGCUCACCCUGCAGAGCGCAGUCCCCCACAGCAGAGGGUGCCUGUCCCCGAGUGUCAGUAGCACCCUGCCGAGGAGCAAAAGCCUCCUUGCUGAGGCGCAGGUUCUCUGAAGAGGCGCCCGCCCCGCGACGGCUUCUCCCUCCGCCGCUCUGCCAGCCUCGAAAUACCCACUCCCCUCCCUUGAGUAGAGCUGUGCAGAGGUGGCUCCGGGACAGCAGCACUGGGACCACAGGCUGAGGGCUGGAAGGGGUGUGAUGGAGAAGGAAACACACAGAAAUGUUUCCUGAGGCCUGCCUCACACACGUCUCUCAGCCACCUUCUGUACCUCAGUUUAAUCUGCUACCCAUCGAUGGAUUGAUUGUCAUCAGGACAACCCUGCCAACAGCGUUUAUACUGGUCAACCUUCGGAGGGAAGGAGGAGGAAACAGGCUUCUCUUCAAAGGAGCGCAGGAGGAUUUGCGGUGGCAGAUGGCUCCAGAUCCUCCACUCUGGCAAACAGCAUCUCUAAUAACAUCUGUGCAGGAAGAAUGUUCUCGUCUUCUUACCACGGACCGGGCGGACAGCAGUUUCGAGAUGUUUAUUUAGUUGUACCUUUUUCACAUUUCUCCCACAUUUUGCCUGAUGAAAUAUUUCAAGUCUCAUUUCAAAGCUCUCACCUGGGCAAAGGGAGGACCUCGGCUGCUGGGUACAGAGCUACUGGCUCUAACCAUGGCACAAUGAUCCCCUCCCACGUCCCGGCUCCCCCGACGUGACGCCCUUGAUGUCAUGUUCAUGAUCUUCUUUCUCUCUGACAUCAAGUCCAUGAGCUCCCUUCUUAAAAAAAAAAAACAGCACUCACAUUUUAUCAAGGAAGAAAUGGGCUCAGCGCCUUGGCCAAGUUUACGCAGCAAGUGGCAGAGCCACGGUUCAGCGUCUGGUGUGUUGGACUCCACAUCCUGCAUUCUUCAGCGCCGCAGUAUAUGAGCCUCUGGCGCAAUGGAAGUAGUCACAGAAGGGGAACUUUGAACAAACUUCCCUACUCAGCCAUCGCAUAUAUAUUGAGCGGCCGCCACGUACCAGGCACUGUGUGAGCAGGGAGCUGGAUCUAGCAAAGCCCUGGCUCUCGGGGCCUUCCACACUGGUUAAGGAGACAGUCAAGAAGCAAGAGACAGGAUGUGCUCUAUGAAAAAGAAUAAAACGGAGCGAGGAGAUGGCGGGGCCGGGCAGGGCCCUGAGCUAUAGUUCAGAUGGGGUGGUUGGAGAAGCCUUUGUGAUGAGGUGAUGAUUGAGUAGAGACGGAAUAAAGGGAUGGAUGAAACUGAAUGACUCUUUGGGAGGAAAGCAUUCCAGGCAGAGGGAACAGCACAAGCAUGAGGGCCCUGAGGCGGGAGUGUUCUUGCCCUGGUGGAAGAAUAGCAGCAAACUGGGAGGAAGUGGGAGAAAAUGAAGUCGGAGAGUUAUUUCUAUCACUCAGAGGUUUAUUCACACACACACAAAACAUUGAUCCAUUUAUUGGUCUCAUCAUACAGGAGAAUCCAUUAGAAUGCCCUGGGAGGAAAGGAGCAGAAAAUCCAACUCCAGGAGUUCCCUGGUGGCUCAGUGGGUUAAGGAUCUGAUAUUGUCACUGCAGCAGCUUGGGUCACCACAGAGGCACGAGUUUGAUCCCCAGCCUGGCACAGUGUGUUAAGGAUCCUGCAUUGCCACAGCUAUGGUAUAGGUCGCAGCUAUGGCUUGGAUUCGAUUCCUGGCCCAGGAACUUCCAUAUGCUGCAGAGGCAGAAAAAAAAAAUUUAAAGUAGCUAAACCAUAAGGAAAGUUAUCAUCUCACAUUUAAAAAAAAAAAAAAAAAAAAAAAAGGAGUCUGGAAGAACAGUAGCUUCGGCUAACUUAGCAGCUCUAUAGCCUCUUAAAUAGCAUGGAUUUUCCUCCUCUCUUCAUCAUGCCAAGCCCAGCAUGUUGGCCUUGAGGUACCUCCCCUCAUGUUUGCAUUUCACUCCAGCCUUCACAUCUUCACAAAACAUCUAGAGGCAGAAAAAAAGCUCUUCAGUUCCUCAAGUCUCUCUUUAGGAAGAAGGAACUUCUUCCCCUAGACCCCUUGGCAUCCUUUGUCCAAAAUGAUGUCGCCUUUGGCUCAUUGUCCAAAAUGAUGUCGCCUAUCAAUACAUAACUUAACCAUUAGUAAGAGGAAAAAGGUCACCCGGAAUAGCUUAAGCUAAUCAGAGCCCACCUCCUGGGGCUGCUUCAGAUAUUCUCAGCAGGAUAUGGCCACCCUGAGAAGCAAAGGUCUCUUUCAGGGAGGAGGGAAUAUCAGGGGGUAAUUGGUACACAGCACUGGUUGCUCAUAUAUAAUUUCUUUUAUUUUUUUAAUUAUUACCAUUCUGAGAUUAUUCAGGGUGCCAUUAAGCCCAGCUAAAAGAAGAACUUGAUUGGAGUCCCCUUGGGGCCCAGUGGGCUGAGGAUCUGGUGUUGUCGCUGUUGGGGCACAAGUUCCAUCCCUGGCCCAGGAACUUCCACAGGGUGCAGGUGCGGCUGAAGGAAAGAAAAAGACAAGAUUUUCCAGAUUUCCUUGGAGAAUUUUUUGUUCUUGAUUAAAAGGCCUAGACUCUGCCGCGUGCCCCUUCAUUACCUUCCCUCUGCUUCCCGUUUGGGCUAUGUCCCCCUUCUCGUGACGGAGCAGCCACCAUGGAAUCAUGAUGUCGAGGGCCACAUGCAAAGGGCGGUGGACCUUGAUGCAGAAGGAGGCUGCAUCCUUGCUGACUUCCUCGGACUGUCCCACCAGCCCUAGAAUCUAAGACUUCCUACUAUGUGGAGGAGAAAAAUAGCCUAUUGGUUAACCACCGUUUGGAAGUUCUCACUACCUGCAGCCAAGGCAACUUGUUGUUCGGCAGCCGGUAGUACCCGCUGCAGAGAGCAGCCUGGGUGUUCCAUGCGAGGACAGCUCGAUGUGACCUUUGCUAAUCCAGUGAGCUCACCAGAGCUCAGGGGGACUCUUCUCAAUGUACAAGCGUGUUAAGUGGGGUUGCAUCAUUCAUGAAUUUCACGUACCAAAUAGGCAGAGGGAGAGAGAAAUACCUUCACUGGCUUUCAUCACUCUCCCAAGUUCACAGUGGGCCUUGACCUUUGAUGCACCCAGAGAAGGAAAAGCCAUGGCCCAAAUGCGAACAGAAGCAAGGAACAGCUACCCUCAACUCUGGAGCUUCCAAGAACCCUAGUCCUGGUGAUGAAGCAGUGAAAGAUGCCAACUCAUCCUCUACCUUGAACUUCUUCCUCGCAGCAGAAACGCACAGGCAAGUCUGGAGCUAGACCUCAUGCUCAUCUAUUGAUUGAAGAAAAAAUAUCACGUCCCCUAAGACGGCAAGAGAGAGAACACCAAUCAGGCACUUAAAGUGAAUAUUGAAUAUAGUUUCCUGUGAGGUUAAACUUAGAGAAUUUAAGAGAAUCAGGAAACACCAAUGCUGGAGUUCCCACUAUGGUGCAGUGGGUUAAGGAUCCAGCGUUGCUGGAGCUGUGGUGUAGGUGGCAGCUGCAGCUCAAUUUCAGCCCCUGGACUGGGAAUUUCCUCAUGCCUCCAGUGCGGCCGAAAGAAAAAGAAAGAAAAACUCCAAGGCUGCCCUUAAUUCUGUAUUCCACUUCAUCAUCGUCAUCAAACUGACGAAGCCAGCAAAUGUUUUCUGAGCACCGUUUGCUUUGGAUGCGGUGACAGAGUUGACGUCGUUUUUUUAUUUACCCUCCCAAGUCUACAAGGAGUUGCUCUUAGCCCCUUUUACAGACGAGGAAACUCAACGUGGAGCAUGACC
rnacentral:lncRNA from 9 species